rnacentral:lncRNA from 1 species
AGUUUGCCCAGGAAGCGCUACAAGGAACAGUAAUGGUUUUGUUACCCGAGUUUGUGCUGCAGUUGUGUAGUUGGAAAGUUAAGUGCUGGAGAAGUUUGAUUUCUGCCAGUGGCGAGGUCAAACUACAUGUAUGGUAGAAGGACCACGAAGCCCCGGGUUAGUAGCUGCUCCUGUCCUGCCAGGUUUUGCCUGAGGCUCCUGGCAUACAUCACUACUUCCUUUCUUCCUUACGGGUUCCAAGACAAACCGAACUAGAAAAUUUUUGCCAGUCAGAGGCAUACUCUUAGGGGGAAAACAUUCAAAUCCGCCCUUUCCUGACAUUUAUGUUUUCUAGACAGUUUCACAGAUCUCAAACUAUAACCAGAAUCCGGAUCACUUCAAGCUAUGUCAUAUUCCUGGGAGGAUUGGAAACCCCUUGGCUUCAGGUAGCAAGGGAGGAAGACAUAGCCCUGCAGUUAAGUUUAUCACAAAGCAUUUCUGGCUUAUUCCUCCCGCGGUCCUCUGAAAUGAUAGACUUCCACUGCCCACUCUAAUCCCAGUUGUGCGUGCGUUUGUGAACUUAGCCUAAAUUACAGCAAAAUAAAACCUCUUGACAACAAACAUUCCUUCAGACCCUUAUGGGGUUACAGAUUGAAUAGGUCAGGCAU